rnacentral:lncRNA from 1 species
UAACUUCUUGCAGAAAUGCGAGGUAAAGCUACAUAUAAUAGACCCUUAUAGUCAGCCCCUUCCCCAAACCUUAUGCGUAGCGAGAACUUAGUGCACCGAAUUGCCCUAAAUAAAUGAUCAUGUGUACAUAUAUUUUUUUAUAUGGUAAUCACUUAACCAUAUACAUUCUCGUCUAAACUGUAUAUCUUCACCAUAAUAAAGUAGUAAUAUAAUUUAGUAUAAACAUGGGGUGUGAGUUUUUUUUUCAAACUAACAUCAUGAUGUCCACACCCUUAUAAACAACUAGCCAAACCUUCCUAGUGAAACCCUCCAUCCCACCCUCCCUAUAGACUAUUCCUUUUGUGCAGUGUUCUUGAUAAGCAGCCACCCUUUUGCCACCAGCUCAGGUGGCAAAGGGGUGGCGCGCGCGGCUAAAGCUGGCGGAGGAGCUGGUGUCUGUUCUUGACAAUUGUUAGAGGUCAUAGAGCUGCAGCUGCUGCUAUAUUUUAUCUUUAGUCCCAACUCAAGGUAAGGAAAUUGUCAUUUUCUUUGGUGGUGGUUUUCUAGUUCUAGUUACGAAGGGCAACUUGUAUCCUUUGGCAUUUAGACUUCCCUUUGAGUCAAUCUUCGUGAGCUCGAGGAAGUUAAUUAUUAUAGUUUAAAUAAUCUCAAGGGCAAGCAGGAUUUAUGCUUAGCCUAUUUGCUGUACUAAUUAGUUCAACUUAUAAAGUUUUUAAUAAAUGUUGUGUUUGAGAAGAACUUAAUGAACAUGUUUUUUGUAUUAAGCCUUUGGUUAUAAUACUGAUGAAAGUAUUUUCUAUUAAGGUUUGGUAGUGGUUUUUUGUGUUUACAUUGUGGUUUGAGCUGCCGAAGGAGUGGAAAGUGACUUGGUUCGUCAUAUUCACGUAUAGAUAUUGUAAUAUAAUUCAUAAAUAUUGGAAUAUGAGUUAAAUGUAAUGUUUUGAAAAUAAAAGGUUGAUAAUUUCCAUUAUUCCUUCAUCUCGUGAUUAAAAGUGUAAGUAUUUUCGUGUGUCUCAAAAUGAUUAUUGUUAAGCCAAGUUAGUCACUAAUAAUCACAUUAGAUACCUUGCAUAUAACUUGAAUGAAGUUUUUCUCUUAUCUCUUGAUUACACUCAUAGAUCUUUCAUUUGUUUAUGUUGAAUUCUUUUUCUUGUCUAGCUGAUUCACACUAUCAUAAUUUCUUAAAUGUAAUUAUUAUUACGCUAAGCCUUGAGGAAUGGACAAUUAUCAUUUAUGUUAGAAGAGCGAAAGGCUGAGACAUUUUUGUACCAAAAGGUAAAAAUCUAUCGUAAUAAAUUGAGCAUUUAAUUCUCUACUACACUUUAUAUGAAAACAUAAAAUACGAUAUAACAUAUGAAAUAUUUUUUGAAACUUCUGAAAUAUUUUUGUAGUCACAACCAAAAUCAUUUAAUAUCCAAUUGAAAAUUUUCAUUCAUUUUCAUUUUUAUAGUCUUUUUUAUUAUUCUUAAUUUGAUAACUACUUAAUGUAUUUGAUCUAUUAAAAACAUCUGAUACUUUUUGUAUUCCAAUUAAAUUCAUAGAAUUUUUGGUUUGAGAAAAUUUCAGAUAAAAAUCAUACUAUAUUAUAAGCAUGAAGAUUUUUAGGUAAAGUUAUUUUACUACAAUAUCCUCUAAAAACUGAAUUACCCAAUUACCUUCUAUUAAAUGACAUUUUGUCCAGGUAAAAAAAUUUACAACAUUAAUAAAAAAAUAAUAAUUCCAAUAAUGGGUGCUGUUGUACAUUUCGGCCGUUAUUGAUAUUAUGGAGGAUACAUUAACUACACGUUUUUAUGAUGUUUUCACACUUUCUUUCUAUUCUUUCCGUCCUUUAUUCAAUUUCCUCUCUUCCUUUAAAUCUUUUAUAACAUGAAGUAUCAAUUAUAUAUUUUUUUAUAUUCUUUUCAGUUACAACUUCAUGUAUGCAUCACUUAAUUAUGGAAUUUGAAAGAAUUCUUUAUCAUUAAAUUUUGAACACCAUUAUAUAAACAGACACAUCAUACGCAUGCACUAUCUUACUUUUCAUGUGACCAAAUUCAAACAUUAUAUUGUGCAAUGCCAAUGAAUAGAAGUUAACGCAAAGAUUUGGAUGAGGUCAAGGAACAAGGCUUUAACAAUCCAACACCCUUUGAAUACUUUUGCGAUAUGGACCUUGUAGUGUAGUUUUUCUCCAUGUCCUCUCUCACUUUUUCUAUUGAAGCACUUUGAAUUUAUAGCAAAAAGUAAUGAGAGUACUGGUCUAGAAAAAAAUUUAUUUAUGGAAGUUUUGCAUAAAAUUAGGAGGAGAUGAUUUUUUUUAAAACAAAAGGCAUGAAGUGGAGUGUAACUUAUAUUUGGAGGAAUGGAAAAAAGAAAUGAAAACAAACAAAGUGGAAAAGGAAAAAAAAAAGUUAAAAAUAAUACAAGAUAAGGAAAGGAAAGAUUUGAUAUACGUGUGUGUUUGUUUUUCUUCUUCUGUCCUCUCUCCCUUUUCAUUGAAGUACUUUAUAUUUAAAGAAAAAAUGAUGAGAAUGCUUUAGUAAAAAAACUGAUUUUAACGAAUUUUGCAUAAAAUUACAAGGAGAUUAAAUACAAAAUAUAAGUUGGGGAAUAACCGUGGAGGACCAAGCGGAAAGAGUGAAAACAAACUAAGUAGAAAAGGAAAAAAAGAAAAGAAAAAAUUACGAGAAAGGGAAAGCAAAGAAUAAUUAAUGUAAAAAAAAAAAAGAAAGAAUGAUUAAUGUAGUUUGUUCUAUGUAUAUAGUCGGCCAAAAUGGGAGGUUUCGGUUACUUGAAUUUUUUUUAUCUUUAAUUACUUCUUUAUUUAUUUAAUUUUUUAUAAAUAAAACAGAAUCCGGAAAGAAAAAGUUAUAUAAAAAAUUAAUUGUAGAAAAAAAUAUAUUUAUAUAUCAUAAUACAUUUUCACGACCCAAAAUCCAAAUAGCAGUUAUGGCACCUAACCUCACCCGCUAGAUAAGCCAAAUAACAACAAUUCGUUUCAAUUAAUAUUUAACUGACUCUAAUACACUCCCCAAGAACUGGUAGUACAAAUCAUGAGCUUCUAAGAUUCAGAAUUUACAAAGUUGGUGUGAAAUAAAAAUACGUCAUCUGUUGGAAAUAUACAUGAACUGAUUUUAAAAAAUCAAAAGCUACCUAGAACAAGAGGCAGUUGUGACUGGAUCGCAGGAACAUCUUCAACGCUAGCUCCCGCCAUGUACAACAGCAUCAAUAUCCAAAAUCUCCAUGCAAGGUGCAGAAGUGUAAUAUGAGUACAACCUACCCCAUGUACUCAAUAAGUAACAAACCUAACCUUAGGAUGAAAAUAGUGACGAACUGGAACAAGGGUCAGAGUCCACUCCAAUAACCAAUAACAGUUCAUAACAGUAUAAUUGUCUGUGUUAUAGUCAAACCAAUGGCAUGACGAACUGGAACAAGGGUCAGAGUCCACUCCAAUAACCAACAACAGUUCAUAACAGUAUAAUUGUCUGUGCUAUAGUCAAACCAAUGGUCUGUCUGUGCUCCCUCAAGUUAUAGUCAAACCAAUGGCAUGUAUGUGCUCCCUCAAGGUAUCCAAUAAGUGUUUAACCUGCACAUCAUUCAACAAAGAAGAAACAAUUAUGGGUAGAGUUUCAUUAGAGCCAAGAAAUUUAUAUCUUAAGUGCGGCAGUAGUGGCUUGAGCUCAAGUUGUGGUGGCUCAAUAAUUGAAGUCUUAGCGGGAGGAGUGACUCUAUUCUCCAAGUCAAGAGAAAGCUUCUUUGGUGCAUAAGUGUAGGACCCAAUCCCUUCCAAUGUAUUCACCAAUUCCACGUAGCCUUCCGUGUCCUCACCAUCAAAAUUUACCAAAAUAGCCGCCAAUGCAUCACCAAGGCAUUCCUCUUCCAUCUUCACCUCGACUGCAUCAGCUACUUCAUCAACAACAUCAAUGGCUGAGGUACUCUCGUAUGCAUGUGGCAAUUUUAUACCCUUACUAGCUUGAAAGGUAACUUCUUCGUCAUUAACUCGGAACUUGAUCUCAUUUUAUUCUGAGUCCAUGAGUGCCCUCCCGGUAGCAAGGAAAGGUCUCCCCAAGAUGAUAGGGAUCUCUUUAUCAACAAAACAAUAGAGAAUAACAAAGUCAGCAGGGAGGAGAAAUUUUUCCACUUUCACAAGCGCAUCAUCAACUAUUCCCACCGGCCGCUUUAUUGAACAGUCGAACAUUUGCAACCUCAUAUUUGUAGGCCUAGGAAUAUCUAAUCUCGCUUGAUUGUAAAUAUCAAAGGGAAUUAAGUUGAUGUUAUCCCAAUUAUCACAAAGGGAUCGUGCAGAGUCACGCAAUCCAAUAGUGCAUGAAAUGGUGAAGGCUCCCGGAUCCUCUUUCUUUGGACGGUGGUUGCUGCAAUGAUGGAACUAACCCGGUGAGCCACAUUCACCACUUCAUUCUUGGUGGUUUUCGCUUUAGUGAUCAAGUCUUUGAAGUACUUAGCAAAACCCGACAUCUCUUAAAAUGCUACAAAUGAAUUUUCAUUGAUAAUUGCUUUAGGAUGUCAUAGAACUUUUCGAGUUUGCUAUCAUCAACCUUUCAAGUUAGUCUUUGAGGGAAAGGACGAGGAGGUCUAGGAAUUGGUGCUAAAGUUUUUGGUGUCUCUAUUAUCGUUCGCUUAACCUCUUCAUGGUUCACUUCUUGAGUUCUCACCUUCUUCUGGAGUCUUUCAACUUCAACAACAUUUGGCACCUCAACUUGUGCCUCGACUUCUUGUUCAGAAUCUUCCACUUUGACCACUUGUUCAUUCUCUACUUGAAGUAGUUUCCCACUUCAAGUUGUGAUUUCCAUACAACGAGAAGUUAGACCACUCCCACUACUUUUAGUGUUUACAAUUGUAUCACUUGGAAGCGUGCCUUUUUGCUUCGAAUUUUGAUCUCUUGAGAGAUACCUCAUUUGCAUCUCCAACUUUUGAAUAGAUGCGGUGUGAGAACCCACGAGCUCGGUCAUAUUCUUCAUUGAAGUGUCAUAUCUCUCUUGAUUUUGCAAUACUCUUUCAAGCAUCUUUUCCAACUUGGACUAACUUGAAGAACUUUUCUUUAAAUGUGGAGAGUUAGAAUAUUGCCCCUUUGGUGGAACAUAUGGGUUUGAACUCCGAUUUGAAAAGUUAUUGUUAUUACUCAAAUUUCCUUGAUUUUAACUACAUUGGUCGUUUCGCCAUUGUUGGUUGCCUUGCCCUUGCGGGUUAGACCUCCAUUGGUGGUGGUGUCCUGAACCUUGGUAGGGUUGUCUUUGAUAUCCUCCUUGAGGAUUGUUGAUAUAAUUGUCUUCUUUGUAUUCCUCAUUUGACAUGGGUUGCACAUCUUCCAUAACAUUUACCUUUUUUGUUUGGCUUUCAGUGAACAUUUUCGUCAACACGUUGACAUUGUUGGCAAGCCUCGCAAUUACUUGAUCUUUUUCUUGGUUUUCCUUAAUCAUGUUAGUCAAGGAAGGAGUACCAUAUGCAAUUCCACACGUGGUGUCUUCUGAGUGCCAAGCUUGGUCAUGUUCUGUCAUCUUGUCGAGGAUUUGUGUGACCCUUGCAAAUGCUUUAUCCAUAAAGGAUCCAUUCGCUGCAUUUUUGGCUAUGGAUUGAUACAUAGGAUCCAAGCCCAUGUAAAACUUCUCCAACAAAAUAUUAUCUGGAAAGCCAUGAUUCGGCGACCUCACCAAAUAUAGCUUGAAUCUAUCCCAUGCCUCAUGUAGAUCCUCUCUCGGUAAUUGCUUGAAGAAGAAAAUUUUAUCCAGAAGCUCGGACUUCUUGCUUUGCGGAAACCAUUUUGCUAGGAAAGCUCGGACAAGCUCGGGCCAAGUAUAAAUGAAAUUAAAAGGUAGAUUUUGGAUCCACUGUCUUGUUUCUCCAGUUAGAGAACCCUCAACCUUAGGGAAUUAUCUGAGACAUGAUUCUGCUUGUGCAUUGCACACAUACCCAAAAAAUUUCUGAGAUAUUGUGUCGGAUCAUCGUCGAUGGAAUUUCGGAAGAACUCCUAUGCAUUUAGCAUAAGGAUUAGACUGUGUUCCACUUUGAAGGUAGCAACGUCAACUCCUGGAGGGACAAUGGCACUUGUAUCCUCAAUAUACUCAUCUAUAUCCGCAAACACAUUCUCUUCUUCCGGCUCUCCCAUGUUUAUCUAAUGGCACCAAGCAAAGCAAGCAAAGUGUGAUGGAAUAGAAGAAGACCCAAAGUAAAGCACACACUAGUUAGUAAUUUUAAAACCGUAUUCCCCGGUAACGGCGCCAAAAUUUGAUACGCUCAAAUUACACCUAUAUAAAUGGUGUAAGACGGUCGGUAUCAAAUAUAAUAACCCAACUAGGUUGGAGAAAAUCCCAUAGGGAAUAGGUGUGAAAAGGUUACUUGAAUAGUGUGAAACUUGGCUUAAGCCGUAGUUCUACUCCGUUAGUUUAAAAAGAGUUUUGUAAUUGUGAAUUAUCAAGAAAAGCUAUUUGUUUAAGAGAAUUUGAUUAAUUUAAUUAAGAAAUCAAGGUUGUGUCCCCAUCAAUAGAAUUUAAUGCUAUCGGUGUUAAUAUAAUAUAUUUCUAAUGAAAGGUCCUUUGAUAUGCAAAUAGUUCCUAAAUAACUACCAAAUAUUUUUCAAUAACUAGGUAGUAUUUCCUCUUUAUGAUUUUCUCAAAUAUAAAAGAGUUACAAUUAAUAGCAACUAAUUUAUGCCAAGUAGAACAUACUUAUCCCUAAGUGAUUCUAUUAAAUAGGGUUUAAAGCCUUGAGUUCUUGCUAUUCAAUUCUACCAAACUCUACCCCACUUUUUCAAGUAAAGAUAGAGUAAAAUGACACUAGUCAGUGUUUGCAACCAUCAACCAUAAAUGAAGCAUAAGAAAUGAAUAGAAAUCAACCAUUCAUUAUAUAUAUAUAUAUAUAUAUAUAUUAAAUGGUAAACACCAAUUAACAUUACACCCACUUAGGGUCCACAACCUUAGUAUUUAAAAUUAACUACUCAUACUAGAAUACAAGAACAAAAUAAUAAAUAAAGUCAUAAAGAUUACAAAGAGAAUAAAGUCUUUAAUUCUCUCUCAAAAGCUUCCAAAAUAAUGGUAUAUUCAAUGCUCUAAGUGUAGCCUCUUUUUCAGACAAGAUGGUCUACAAAAACUGUAAUCAUUCUCUUUAUAAUGAUUUAAAAGUCGUGGUAAAAAAAGUGACAAAAAUGACCAUGCAAAUCAUGUCUGCGACCGCAGAAUGGGUCGUAGAACGCUUUCACGGUCCGCACAUCUUCAUUUUUCACUGCAAAAUUGCUCACAAAGUUUUCGAGUUUUUUAUCGCAUUAUGGUUAUGCGGUCCACAUAUUGGUUUCGUGACCGCAUAACGUACCGCAAAGUCAUCUUCACUGGAACUCCUUUUGCAUUUGUGCGAUCACUAUGCGGUUCACAUAAGAAUUAUGCGACCGCACGAUGGAUCGCAGACUUGACUCUCAAAAACUAGGAUGUUCUACUUCAUUCUGCGAUGGGUCCGCGGUCCGCACAUCACUUUUGUGGUCGCAGACCCGCCGCAUUUCUACCUUUCCAUGGGUCUUUGUCAUAUUUUUUAUGUUCUUGGCUCUUCAAGUUUGGUUUCCUGCAAAACACCCAAACUACAUAAGAAAUGACUUAUAAUACUUUAAAAGAUGAGCUAAAUUCUAUGUAAGAAUCAAAAUUGCCGCAUUUCUACGGCACAUCACCUAGCAAACUAUUUGACAAUACGGAUAACAUAUCUAAUAAGUUCUUCGAUAUGGUGGUGCCUUUGGAUAAUCAAUUGGUGUUGCAACAAGCUAGAGGAUGCGCUUUGUGCCAAUGAGAAUUUAAUGACGUAUGCUAUAAAGACCAGAGCCUAUGCAACAAAGCACUUUUUCUUUUAUGUUCAAGCAAAUAUUUUUGUGUAUGAUUUCUUUAGUUUUUAGUCGAGGUAUAUAACUUUCUUGCCAUCUCGAAAGUACGGAUCAUCAUAAGACAUCAAGAACUUAUACUUCUUUCUUAAAUUUUUAUCACUAAAAAAUAAUUUUUAAAAUAAUAUUGAUACAAUAUUUUAAAAAAUUUAUAUUCAUUAUAUGGAUACACGCGCAAUUUGCUUACCUAAUCGCUUUAAACACAUUGCAUAUAUAAAUUGAAUGUGCAACUACUCAUUUAUCUCGUGAUUACAAGUGCACAUCUUUUCAUGUGUCUUAUGAUGCUUUUUGUUACGUUUAGUCACUCUCGUUACUUUUCUUACGCACAUAUACAUAUAUGUCAUCGUGUGUCAGAAACAUAUCAAACACUUCGCAUUUUGCAUAUAUAUGCAUUUUCAUAAUUCUAAUUAUGCUAAUGUAUGAAAUAAGGUAGCCAUUACUAGACAAUUCUUUUCAUACCCAAAAAAAUAAAAACUUACGAGGGCGUUUUGAAGACAUAUUUGUUUAUGCAAUGAUCUCUCCAAUUGGUUCUUGCAAUAUCUCAAGUCUCAAAAACUAGUUAGGAGUGAAUUCAUGUCUUUCGUCAUGAACUCAGAAUCACCACAAUUUAUUUGAUAAAAUUAGUUUAAUCAAAACAUCAUCCGUGAUAGAGGUGGAGUCAGAAUUUACAGCUUAUGGGCUCAGGCCAGUCUAUUUAAAUUAAUUAUUGGGUUCUAAGUUAAUAGUUUUUCCAUAUACAAUAAAUUUAUUAAGAUAAAUAUUGAGUUUGGACCAAAAUUUACUGAGUUCGACCAAACCCAUAUUACGCAUUCUAGCUCUGCCCGGCCGGUGAAUAACAAAUCAAAUAAAUAAAGCAAGAUAAAAUACCUCGGUACACGUGUUUUUAAACAAAAGAGUUGUAAUUUAUGGAUGAAAAAUAUUCUAGCGACAAUUAAUCAAUAUAUAUAACUUAAAUUCUUAAAAUUAUAUAACAUAAAUUUCAACAAUGCACUUCAAAAUAUAGAAUGUUUGGCCUUCAAAAAAUUUGUAAAGAUAAAAGAAAUAUUAAUUAACAUCCAUCCAACCAAACUUUUGAUUGCAAGUUGCUUCCUCAAUAAUAAUCCGUUUGCAUGUGUAAACAUACAUUGAGAGUGUUACGUUACCGAGUAGCAUCAGAAUUAAGGCUUUCUUUAAGAUACGAUGAAAUAAUAGGAAAUUUAGUGUUAAUUUUGGAUAUUUGUAAUUAUAUCAAUUGUACAUGAAAUUACAUGAAAUAGUAAAAAUAUUAAUUAUAAUCCACGUCGUAUUUCCCUUAAUUAAAACAUAUAAUUCUUGUCAAGUACUAUGUACAAUUCACAAAAAAUUUCAUAAGCUACGUAGCUCAAAUCUGCCAGGAGAAGAAACUCCAUAAUUUGAUCUUCUCUAAUUACGACUAAUAAUUAUGAUCUUAUCUAGUUUUACCUUGACUACUGACUAGUGUUAAUUUUGGAUAUCAAUAAUUAUAUCAAAUGUAAAUGAAAUUACCUGAAAUAGUAAAAAUAUUUAUCAGAAUCGCGCAUAUUUCUCUUAAUUAGUAAAACAUAUAAUUCUCGUCAAUUCAUAUAUAUUACCUAAGAUUAAUUCCUUUUUUUUUUUGGUACAUUGAAAAAGAUAUGUACAAUUCACAAAAUUUUCAUAAGCUACAUGUAUAGCUCAGAUUUGCCAUGAGAAAAAACUCCAUAAUUGCAAUCUUCUCUAAUUACAACUAAUAAUUGUAAUCUUAUCUAAUUUUACCUUGACCACUGAAUUCUCCUAUAAAUAAGACCUACACUAGUUAGUAUAAAUCACUCUUCUAUCAAUUUCUUCAUAAAAGAAAAAUGGCUUUGAAAUUCACCUCCUUUCCCUUUACAAUAUUCAUAAUUCUAGUAAUUGCUUCUACUUUCUUCCAUAUUUCCUCAGCAAAAGGUGGAUUGAAACGUGAAUUCUUUAUUGGUCUGACAAUAAAGGAUCCUAAAGUGGUGGAAAUUGCAAAUUUUGCUAUAAACGAGUUCAACAAAAAAGCAGGACAUAACUAUAUACUUAAACAAGUGGAUGGAGUAGAAACUGUUACUUUUACUAGUGGUACGAAUUAUGAGUUAUUUAUCACUGUUAAUGAAUGGGAUACAAUCUCUGGCGGCCAUGUUGCGGUUGUUUUCGUUGGUUCCAACAAUUUCAAGAAACUUAUUUCCUUUGAUGGAAAGUUCUCUUCUAUUAAAAAUUAAGUGUAUGAAUCCUCCAGAAUUACACGAAAAGUAUAUAUAUGAAAUGAAAUAAACCAUUCGAAUUAAACAUGGUUUUGUCUAUCAUAUAUAUGUUUUGUCUCGCAUUAUUAUUGAUAUGUUUGGUUGUACUAUUAAACAUGGUUGAAAAUUUCACUUUUUAGAUGAUCACAAAAAUUAUGCAAAAUUUACGUCUCAACUAUAUAAUGAUGGCUCCUUGACCGGACCUAUUGAUCCAGGAGCUCGAAAAUGGAGCAAAAAAUAAGAUGAGUUAGAGAACAGAUGUUAGUCAAUUUUGAUCCUGCUAGGGAAAAGAAGCAGACUCUUACUCGACGUAGGAUAGAGUAACUAUUUUUAAAGUCUAGCCUUUUUUUCCAAGACAAGCAUUCUAACCAAAUAACUAUAGAUCUUGUGCGUAUUACAAAGGCAUCUGUUUAUUUAUUUCUUUAUACACCAAAUGUCCUAGUCGUCAUAUUUUGAGAAUUAUGAAAUGUUUAUUUUCUUGCUAAUCCACCCUUUUUCUUUGAAAAAAAAAAAGACUAACUAGACAUUUCCUAUGUACUAAACAUCCAUUCAAGAGUGUGUUUGGUAUAACAUUUUUAAAAAUAUUUUUAAAUUUCUAAUGUUUGGUUGCCUAAAAAUGCUUGAAAAAAAUACUACAACAACAACAACAAACUUAGUGUAAUUCACAAGUGGGAUAUGGGGAGAGUAAUGUGUAUGCAAAUUUUACCCCUACCUUGUAAAAGUAGAGAGAUUGUUUUCGAUAUACCUUCGACUUUAAAAAAAUGCUUGAAAAAAUACUUUUUCUAAAAUAAUAUGUUCCUUAGAAAGUUGGACACAUUACCGUGCUAAUAUAAAAGCACCAAAAUCCUUGCUAACUUACUGGCAGUGUGCAAUCCUGACGUUACUGGUUUGUAUGUUUCGUAGUGAUCUUUUUGCUUUGCGAAUCACUUGCUGCUAAUUUCCUUCAUUGUCCCCGGCUUUGAUAUGAAGCUACAUACGCCCCGGCUUUAAUAUGAAACUAACUUUAUAAAAUAUAAUAAAUCUUAUUAUUCUUGAGUGGGAAGUCUAUUUUACAAACUACUAGUAAAUUUUAGUACUUGUAAAAGAAAUAUCUACGUCUAAAUACCCAAAAGUGUACUAAUUCAGAAUCUCUCCUCAGUCACCUUUUACCCUCAAGUAUAUUUUCAUUAAAAAAAAAAAUCUCUAUAUUGUAUACGGUCGAAAUAGAUUUCGGUUUUCGUACGAUCGGUCGAGGUCAAAACGUAAUAGAUCGGAGUAAGACUUCAAAAUGGGUUCCGAAAAUAGUAUAAACAACCUUCGAGCCCGAUGGACCGAUCAAUGUCGAGCUCGAAUACAAAUCGAGUUAUGAUUCAAAGUAAAGUUAUCGAGCUUAUGAUUCAGAAGACCGACCAAUCCUGACCCCGAACCAAUGUAAGGAUCCGAGUCAGAAUCGAGCUCAAGUCAAGAUCGAGAGCUCGAGUCGAGACCGAAAACUCGAGUCAAUAUCGAGCUUACAGACAAGAGCCGUUGCAAUUCCACUAGAGGAGAGAAUCCUGAGAGGAAUUAUGAAAAAGUUGAUUUAUCAUGGGUCUCCCACUAAGUAUUUUUAAUUAUAUCUAAAGUAAGGUUCAUCUACUAUAAAGGGAUGGUUAUUAUUUCUGUAAGGCAAGUUUUUGUUUACAUUGUAAUUCAAGCACCAUAUUCUCAUAUAGAGAAGAGUUGUUCUUCUAAGCUUCAUAAAUUGGUUCAACCAGUUCAUUUCUAAAAAUCAUCUACUUUACAACCGUGUUUACUUUGUACUCUUUGCAAUCCAUAUUUGAUAUUUCUAUUUAUCCUUACGGUUUGUAUUAAGCUAUACCACAUAUCCUUAAAACUACGUACAAAUUUAACUUUAUCCGUUUUUCGGGUAAAACAUAUACCAAACCCAUUAUUUCUUGUAAUCGGAGCAGAUAAACGGUAAGAAAGUCAUAUAUGAAGCUACAAAUAGAGUACUAUUACUUUCAAACGUGCACGCAGAGGAAAAAAACUUUGCAUAAUAAUUUUGAUAUUAUUAUAAUCUGACACGACGACUAUAUAGUUUAUUUAUCGCAAUUUGAUUAGGGGUCUUUUCGGUAUUCCAUAAAAGAAAAUAAAAAGAACUCCGACUGUAUAUAGUUUCUCACUCCCUCCUCCUAACUUCAAUUCCCUUCAUCUUCCUCGUGCUAUCGCCGAAGGGUUAACACUGUUCCUCACCAGUAAUUCCAAUUCAUGCUUCUCAAUUCUCUCUUCUUUAUUACAGAUCCAUAGUUCAAUUUCUCCCUCUUUGCGCUGUUGUGUUCACAGCUCUCGAAACACAUCAGCUCCAAUGACGGCAGAAACAAAGCGUGAAUUUGACAUUUUUUCAUCGGCGGCCGAACCGCUGUCUCAAUCUCGGGUCUCGGAACCCGGUGAUCCGAACCGCGAUAGGCCGGAUGAAUGCAAACCGGAAUUGACCGGUUCGGUUUCCGGCGUUCGGUUCGAGAAAGCUCAGGUUAGGACUAGUGAUAGUAAUGGUAUUGUUGUGUACAGGAGGAACAAGAGGCAGAAGACGGCAGAUUCAACAAACGGCAAUUCAAGUGGCAAAGUCGUAAAUAUGGAUGAAGCCGAGGGUAAUUCAGGAAUUCAUGCGUUAGACAGUGACGUCAUGGAAGUUGAAGUCAAGGAAGAGUCAAGGAUUAGGCGGUUCACACGGUCAGCUUUGGAACUGAAGAAGAUGGGGAAAAUUCCAAAUGGAAAAUCUGAAGGUGAAGUUGAGGAGAGAAGUUGUGGUGUAAACACGUCCGGGAAGAAACUAGAAAUGAAAAUGUCGAAGAAGAUUUCGAUAACGGGAAGGCCUACAACGGUUAGGGAGCUAUUCGAGACUGGUUUGCUGGAAGGAUAUCCUGUUUUUUACAAUGGUGGGAAGAAGGUAUCAUUCUCUCACAAUGUCGUCCACAUUCCCCUGUUCCCUUAAUAUUAGGUUCUUGUUACGGUGCAAAUAUAUUUAAAAACCGGUUUACUUGUUAGGUAAUAAUAAAUAAUUAUAUGUAAUCUCCUGAUGUGCAUUAACUAGUGAUCUAGGCAAAAUGGUACGUAACCUGCUCAGAUUAAAAUUCAUUAAUAGUGUAAAAAAUCUUGACACUAUAUAUAACCUAAAAUCUCUUAAAUUAACCCGGGGCAAGAUAUUGGAGAAUAGCAUUAGAGGCAGUUAUCUCUUUUUAUGUAGAUAAAGUUGCCCUCAAUUAUACUAUACUUAUUAGUUAAAAAAAAAAGAGUUACCUGUCGAUUAUGAAAAAUAAUCCAAUCAGUUCGAAAUGUUAAAGCAGAAUAAAAGGGGGUACGAUCUCAAUAUGUAUGUCUAGAAAAAAAUUGCGUUAAUCAUUAUGGUCUUACAGAAAGACAGACGUAGAGCUGUGCAUAAUUUGGUAAAUACCGAAUUACCAUACCGAAAUCGAAAAUUUUGGUAUUUGGUAUUCUAUAAUUUGGUAUUCGGUAUGGUAUUUGGUUUAAGUUUUAAAAAAUAUUGGUAUUAGGUAUGUUAUUUGGUAUUUUAAAAUGAAAUACCGAAAUACCGAUACCGUACCGAAAUAUAUAUUAUAUUACACAAUAAGCAUAUUAUUAAUUAUAACAUAAAUAUAAAAAUCUAAAAUUUUAACUUUCCUUUAUUCUCUAAGUUUAUCAAUUAACUCUAAGCAAGUAACAAAACAUUUUUAAUGAUCAAAUUUAUUCUUUUAUGUACAGUUUUCUCUCUCUGGGUUGAUAUUUGCUAGUUUUGGACAAAACUUUUGUUGCAAAUGUUUUUAGUUUUGUACUUUUGAGUACUUUAAUUUAGAAUAUUACAGGCUAUGACUGUAUGCACUAGUUAGUAUUCAAGCCGAAUAAACCGAAGUUACCAAACCAAAUAAACCGAAACCGAAAGGAUAAAAACCGAACCAUACCGAAUUUAAUUAGGUACGGUAUUGGUAUUGCAUUUUAAGAAACCGAAUACCGAAAAUACCGAACCGAAAUGUCUAAAUACCGUACCGUAUCGACCGACGAACACCCCUAGAAAGACGAGUACUUAAAUAUCCUAACACCACAAAAGCCUAGGGGUAGGUAAGUUUGACUAAAGUUACUAGAAAUGCGUUUGGAUACCCUUCUUUUUUUGAUUGGGUUUGACUUCAACUUUCCCAGAGCCCACCGUGCUCAAAGGGGGAGACUGGGUGUAUGCAUAAAUUUCUACUAGCAACAUUCAUGCUAAAUUUUUAAAACCAUUAUUUUUUUAACGACAGUAGGGCUAAAACUAUAUCGUGUAAAUUGCUGUUGAUCCGCUUCCAGCUUCUUUUCCUUAAAUGUGCUUAUGACUUGUGUCCAUUUCUUGCUGCAAGACCUUUUAAUGCUUUGAUGAAUUCAGUGGUUUUGUCUUUAUCUUAUGAUAAAUAUUGUCUUAAUUUUAGGGAAUUCCACUCCGAGGAACAAUUAAAGAUACCGGAAUUCUUUGUUCCUGUGAUCUGUGCAAUGGAACUAGAGUGAGUAUUGAAGUUUUUCUAUUUCUCUUGCUUCCCUUUUAUCACACUUUAGUUGUCAUUAUAAACAGUUGUCUUAACUGAGUGCAUACUCUACAUUCUGUAUCACUUUUGUAAUGUUAGGUUGUCCCUCCUAGCAAAUUUGAGAUCCAUGCAUGUAAUUCAUACAGACGUGCAUCAGAGUAUAUUUGUCUGGAAAAUGGCAAGAGCCUACUCGACGUGGUCAAAGAGUGUAAGAAAGGUUCCUUGAAGACAUUAGAAGAAACAAUUCAGAGUGUCAUUGGUCCAGUUCCUGUGAAGAAAAAUCUCAUUUGUCGGAAUUGCAAGGGUGAGCUUGCUCAUGUGAACUUGAAUACAGUUACAUGUUUCUUUACAAGUGUAAUUAGAAGAUAUGUGGUUACUGUUGUGGCUAGGGUCUUUUGUUGCAACACUAGCUGGAAAAGAUGAACCACUUUGUGAUUCAUGCAUAAUUUCUCUAAGAUCAGAAGCCACUCCAACACAGUCGAUAAACACUGAAAAUGGGUAUGUUUUUUUUUAAAAGUCGCCUCAUGAUCUUAUCACUUUUGUUUGCUCCUUUUUUCUUUUGUCCACUAGUGGAGCCUGAUUCUUACGAUUAGUUGAGCACCAAUUUAGAUUUUUCUGAUUUUACGGGAUUCAGGCAAAAGGCUUAAAAGUUGGAACGGGAAGAUAUUAUGUGUUAGAUCUACUAUGUGUCACUAUAGUACUAUUGUGCUAUAUACCUAGCAUGGCUCACUGUUUUGAUAGUUCCUCCUUCCCAAAUUUCUUUGUCAGUAUAACCACAUAAAAUUUGACAUGAAAUGAAACAAAAGAGCAUAAUAGAAGGGGUAAGCAAUUCCUGAUAUAAAAAAAAUAGAACGGGCAAGCAGUUUUUUUCGAAUAACAAAGUGGAUCAACUUAAACGGGUAGAAUUUUUUAUGUAAGACUUAGAGAGGAAAAAGAUAUAGGUUGAGUCAAAGUAAUCAGAACAAUGGACAAACAGUUCAAUAAGACAAGAAUAUACAAUCACUUGUAGUGUUUUUUUUUUUUGAUGAAGUAAGGUAUUGCAUUAUAGGCAUCAAGAAGAUGCAAUAGGCUACAAUAGAAAACUUGGUUAACUCUUUAUACAAAAAACUAUUCUAGAGCAGGGAGUUAACCAAGAGCAAAAGGCAAUGGCUACUAAACCAUUGAGAGAGAGCUAAUGAAAUCUAAGAGGGGAAUAAUAUCAUUUACUGGGGAAAGGUUACUCCAGCUGAAAAGACUCAUCAAACAUUUAGACUUCAGGUUACAGUUGGAAGUUGAAAUGCCAUCAAAACAUCUACGAUUCCUCUCUGUCCAGAUAUGCCAGAAAAUACAUGCUGGGAUCAUUUGCCAGAUCUUCUUGAUGGAUCUAUCAACUUCCCAGAGGCUCCAGCUAACAAUCAAUUGUAGUGUUUGUAGCAAGUGGGUAUCCAAAAAUUGUGUUGAAGAAGCAAGGCCUCACUUACUUAUACGUUGUAUCAAAUAGAUGAUUCCUUAUUCUCUCAACAAAUCAAGACAUCACUUAUUUAUAGGUUAUAUCAAAUAGUAAAAGAAUCUAUAGUUUGUUGUUUCUAUUGAAGGGUCUAGAUCCAUGAUGUUAAGAAAUGGACAUUAAGCCUAACUCAACUCUGAAACCUAGUUCAUAAGUGAGGAUUGCCAAGACCAUAUAAGGAGACAACAACUUAUUCCCUCUACCAAUAUGGGACGCUUAACACCCCUGCACGCGACAUCUGGCGCGUGAACAAUAGAAUGUGGAGGCCCUGUAUUUGGUAACCAAGAAUAUGGAUUGAUCCGACGCUGAUACCAUGUUAUGAAAAUGUAACAUGGUACAUUCAGAGAUUUUAGGUUCAAGGCUAACUGCUGCCCAUUAUCAAAAAGAAUUUUUGUGCUUUGCCCAUUGAAAAAAUAAGCCCCACCACGUAAGGAGGUGUGUUGACAACAUAAUUAAACAAAUAGAAGUGUACUCCCUCCUUAAGCUUUUAGAUGAGAUGGUCACACACCUCAACAACACAUGAAAUUGUGUAUUGCUGAAAAUUAUGACAAGUUUUUAAGGAAUGAAAAUUGACAUGAGGUAACACACUGUUGGGAUAGUCGAUAUGCGCCACAAGCUGGCAUGGACUCCACAGUUAUCCCUAAAAAGGGAUAAAAGGAGGACACAUGAUUGUUCAAGGAAGUGACAGAGAGAACCAUAAUACUGGCAGCUGGUCACAGGUUGAUCAGAUAGAAUUUUAGCAAUAAACAGAGGAUGUAAGUGGUUGAGGACACAAUGCUUAUCAUGGAUUUAAACCUUCUAUGAUGACACUAAGCAGAGGAUCUGAUUAGCCCAGUGUUAUCAAAGGCGAAAGCGCACAAAAGCUCUAAGGUCCAUUGAGGCUUAAGCGCAAAUAAAGCGUGGGCUUUAAUGGAAAAAGGCGCAACUGCAGAAAAGGUAAAAAUAUAUAUAUGUAAUCCAAGACCAAUAAUUAUAAGCAUGAAUAACACAUAUGCAGACAAAAAAAUUGAAAAAGAAUUACGAUAAAAUGAAAUAUCAAUUAUUUAGUGUCGUCUUUUCAAGAUUACAUUCAUUGGCAAGGAAAAGUAUGCCUUAGAGCCUUGAUGCGAUACUGAAGCGGCCCCAAAGCGAGGUAACACGCUCAACAUGUUUUGGGCCUCGCUUCAGGGCUUAAGCGCGCCUUUGACAACACUCGAUUAGCCUCCUAUCCUGUUCUGUUAAUUUUUCUUUUGAGAAUGUCAUGUCCAGUUCUGUUAUUGUUGAGAUCUUUCUAUGGGUUGACUGUUGGUUUCUCUAUUUAAUUAACUAGUAAUGCAUGUAUCCUUUCGAAGAGAUGGUUGUCUGACAAACUUAUUGUUUUUUUCCCCAUAGUUCAGUCUUUCUUUUUUGUUAUAGUGGUCAUUCUUAAUCUUGCUUUUUUUUUUUGUAACAAAUUUAGGUCGUGUGAGCCGGUUCUGAGCUUAAACUCCUCCGGAACUUCAAAUGUGUCACCUAUUUCGCUAAAAAGUACUAGAGGAAGAAAAAAGAGAAAGUAGGUAUCAAUAUAGUUAAUUGAUUCUGCUUAUUUUUGGUGCUUGUUGAACUUUUGUUCAAUGUGAGUAAAGUGGGUUCAUGAACAUGUGCUAAUGCUAUUUUAUUUGCAUAUUAAGGGCCAUGGUGAUGCAUUUAAGUAGAGUCUCUCCUUCAGUGCAUACUCUCUCCAGAAAGAAGAGGAAGACACCAAAUAAGUGUGUUAUUGCCCUUAAUGUUUUCUGUUUAAUUUUUUUCUUUAACAAAGUUAGUGAAAAUGUAGCCUUUUGUCAUCUUUCUCUUCUGACCUCUUUUUAUUUGGACCGUCAAGGUUAACGCAGCCAGUUGUGGCUACGAAGUCGGCUGGAACUGCUACUGUAUGCAGUUCAUUCGGAAACAACAUGCAGGACAAUAUCUCAAAAAAGUUGGUGGAUAUUACUCAACUUGUCAUUAGAACUUUUAUCUGAGAAACUACUGCUAACUCAUAUGGUGCCUCUUAUUGUUCAAGUCAGAUUGUCAAAAUCAAUUGCAGUUUCGAAGUACUCAAAAAUUGUUUUGCCUGGUGUCUCAGUACACUCUAGGACCCAAUGGAAAAUGACAAAAAGGUUGGCAUUUUUCUUUUGAAUUACUCUUGUUAAUUGUGGAUUCUUCUGAUAGCGAUGUCACUUAUAGUGCUUGGUUCUGUGAUGUCACUUUGUUCAGGGAUCAAAAGAUGCAUAAAUUGGUUUUUGAUGAAGGUGGACUGCCUGAUGGGACUGAAGUAGCUUAUUAUUCUCGUGGAAAGGUUGCUGAGCAUCUCCUUUACGGCUGUUUUAUAUAGUUGUUGAUCCAUUGUAAACAAUGGAUGUUUGCUCUUUUUAUUUUCUUAAUGUUAUUUGCUUAUUUAUAACUGGCAGAAAUUACUUGUUGGUUAUAAGAAGGGAUGUGGUAUAUUCUGCUCUUGCUGCAAUACUGAGGUACAACUCUUGGAGACUGCUUAAGGUCUUCCCAAUUGUCCUGCAAGAUAUUCUGAUGGCAUUUCAUUUUUAUGGUUAGGUUAGUCCAUCUCAGUUUGAAGCUCAUGCAGGUUGGGCAUCACGCAAGAAACCGUUAGUCUUCAUCGUUCUUGUUAUCUGUCGUUCAAAGAAUUUAUAUCACUAGUGACAGUAAGCGAACCUAAUUCUGCUGACGCGAUUCUAACUUGGGUACUUAUCUUUGUCAAUGUCUGCUGCAGUUAUGGGUACAUUUACACGUCUAAUGGAGUAUCUCUACAUGAAUUUGCUAUAUCUCUAUUAAAAGGCCGCAAGUCUUCAGUUAAAGACAGUGAUGACUUGUGCAUCAUAUGCGCAGAUGGUGGAAAACUUGUGCUUUGUGAUGGAUGUCCUAGGGCUUUCCAUAAAGGUGAAAGUUGGAUGUUUUUCUUGAUUGACAAUUCUCAAUAUUUUACAAGACUUCCUAUUCUAAAAAAUUAUAUUUUACAAGUCUUUCUUCUUCUCUCCUACACCCCCCCCCCCCCGGGUGAUUGAUGAUUGGGUUCAUCAUGUUCUGUUGAUUAUCCAUCCAUUGUGUUGCUUUCCUUUCUACCCUUUCUUGGGGUUUCUAUGUGAGGGUGGUUGUGCUGACAGGAGGUAAGAUAGGACUCUAAGUGAAUAAGAACUUGAUUUUCAGGAUGGGGGCAUUGGGUGAGUUCAGGAAAUAGCUCAUCAUUUGUGAAUUUAUUAACUGCAGUUUAAUUGACUAUUGGUAUUUGUAACGGUGUGUAAUUCUAUUUUCAAUCUGUUAUAUACACUUAUAUGAAACUGUUAGUGACGUGAAGCCUGUGGGCUGCCACAUCUUAACUGAGAAGUUUCAAAAGUUGGGGUUCUAUCUGUGAUGAAGUUUCCGUUGAUAAGAACUGGAUUCUUCUUGUGGCUAAUUUUUAUUCUGAGGCUCAUAUAUUUGUAUGUAGAUACCCACUUACCCUAGUUGCAGUAGACUUGCUAUACCGUUUAAGAUUUAAGAAAUAGCAUCUUCGCUCUGAAAUUUCUACUUGGUAUAGCUCUUUAUCAGUUGGCCAUUGCAUUUUUAAUGGGGAUUGCUAGCUACUGAAUUUGGAUAUUGUACUUGCUUAUUAUUGAGGUUGCAUCCAUAGCUAUAUUUUCUUGAAAAUAGGUGUAGCUUAACUAAAGAAGUUCUAGAGAAUACAAGUGCAUAAGAGCUUGGGAAUUGAUGCAGAGUUAGUUCAUUAAUUAGUCAAAGCUCUGAAAUCCUCGAAUGACCAAUCACCUUCACUUCGGAGCAGCUACGCCUCCUCUCACCCCCACCAAUUUAAAAAUGAAAAAAGAGCACACCCAAAGGAAAAAAUCAGUAUCAGGCUUAAGGUAUGGUGGGACGUUAAUCAUGUUCCACAUCCUUAACCCCGGCGGUCUUUCCGCACUUAUCUUAUCUUUUAGGUGAGGGUUUAGUGAGUCAGUGCAGUAUUAAGGAUUAGUUAAGUGACACUCAAGGGUAUGUCCUAGUGGUUAAUAAAGUGGAUGCAAAUCUUGGAGAGCAAGGUUCGAAUUCCUGCAGAAAUGGGAAACGUUAAGCGAUCUCUUUCCAGCUGUCUAACCCUUGGUGAGAAGAGUUACUUAGUACUUGUGCUAGUGGGAGGUAGCAGGAAUCCGGUGGAAUAAUCGAGGUGCGUCCAAGCUAGCCCAACACCACCAUUAUUAGAAAAAGUGGGCUGAGUUUAGUUGACUGUCGGUGAGCAUGUACAUAACAAUUUAUUGAUUUUGACCGGGCCUUUAAAUGAGAACCACUACAGUCUCUGAACCUGUUGAAUAGGUGUCACGACCUGAAAUUUCCCACCGACGGGACCGUGAUGGCGCCUAACAUUUCACUUGCUAGGCAAGCCAACGUUAGAGAAUCAUUAACCAAUUCCUUAUUUACAUUCAGUAAUCAACAAUAAUUAACUAAGAUGAAAUAUAAUAAGUGCGAAAUAUUAUAAAUCUGUAUUAAUUACUACCACCCGGAUCUGGAGUCACAAUUCAUGAGCAUUCUAGAAUUUGCUACAAGUAAUAGUCAGAAAGAAAUACAAUUGUCUGAAUGAAAGAAACAGUAGAACAAAAAAGAUAGACGAGGACUUCAAGGUCUGUGAACGCCGACAGAUCUACCUUGAGUCUCCGGACAACGGACCAAUAGCAGAAUCUCGAUCAACCCGAGCCGGUAUCAAAAUCUGCACAGAAAGUGCAGAGUGUAGUAUCAGUACAACCGACCCCAUGUAUUGGUAAGUGUCGAGCCUAACCUCGACGAAGUAGUGACGAGGCUAAGGCAAGGCACCUACAAAUUAACCUGUACCAUUUAACAGUGUAUAUUCAAAUAACAGAAAUGAAGAACUAAACAGGAAAUGUNNNNNNNNNNNNNNNNNNNNAAUGCACGGCAUCACCCUUCGUGCUUUUACUCUCAAUCUCACCAUAAAAAUCAAUAGAAACGGCACGACAUCACCCUUCGUGCAUUAACUCUCAUAUCAUGGCACGGCAUCACCCUUCGUGCAUUAACACUCACAAUAUGGCACGACAUCACCCUUCGUGCAUUAACACUCUCCCUUACCAUAAUGCAAUGCAUAACUAUCAACAGGGAGAUAGAAUAACAAGUACAAACUUUACCUCAACAUUUGGUUCCAUAACAUCAGUCUCAACUUUGAAAUAAAAACUCAAUUAUAACCAGAAAAUCCGUAAACAUGAUAAGAACGAUAAAUUGAACAACACUAGUAUAAUACAUCGCAAUUAGGCAUAGGAUUGAGACAAUAUAAGAAAAACUGAGAAAACAUGGAAAACAGGUAAAUUGGCGGCGCAUAAGUACUCGUCACCUCGCGCUCACAUGAAUUUCACUUAGCAAGUAAUCUAAGGUUCCUAAUUCCCUCAAGUCAGGGUUAGACACAACACUUACCUUGCUCCGAAAGCCACUUAAUUCUCAACCACAACUUUUCCUUUGGAAUUCACCUCCAAACCACUCGUAUCUAUUCAAAAAUGACUCAAUAAUAUCAAAUUUUGCUAAAGGAAUCAAUUGCAUUGCAUAAAUUUAGAUUUCCUAAAUUUUCCUCCAAAAAGUCAAAAAUCGACCCCGGGCCCGCUUGGUCAAAACCCGAGGUUCGGACCAAAUUCCAUUUACCCAUUCACCCCCGAGCCCGAAUAUAUAAUAGGUUUUGGAAUUCGACCUCAAAAUUCCCAAAUUUUCGAAAACCCUACUUUCUACCCAAAACCCCUAAUUCUACCAUGAAAACCUUAGAUUUUAGGUUGAAAUCUUGUAAAAUAUAGUGAAAGAUUGAAAGAAACCAGUUUAGAAUCACUUACCUAUGAUUUGGGGAAGAGAUGGUCUUUGGAAAAUCGCCUCUUGUCUUUUAGGUCCUUAAAAUUUGGGAAAUGAAUGAAAAUUCCCGUCCAAAAGCCAUUUUGUUCGGCUGCAGACGUCGCAUUUGCGACCUGAGCUUGCAAAUGCGAAGGAGUCAUCGCAAAUGCGAAGCCCUUCACACUUCUGCUAGCCUUUGCAAAUGCGAAGAUAAGUUCGCAAAUGCGAACCUUGAAUCUUCGCAAAUGCGACUAAAUGAUCGCAUUUGGCGACUAAAUGAUCGCAUUUGCGAUCACUGCCCUUCCCCGACUCCCUUCGCAAAUGCGAAAAUUAUUGGCCCGGCUUCUCUUCGCAUUUGCGAUGAGAAGCUCGCAAAUGCGAACCUCUCAGAGGUCGCAAUUGCGAUGCCUGAUUGCGAGAUCAGAGGCCUGCAAUAUCAGAUGCACCAACAGUGUUUUCCAAGCCAAAUCUCACUCCGUAGCCUAUCCGAAACUCACCCGAGCCCUCGGGGCUCCAAACCAAACAUGCAUGCAAGUCUAAAAACAUCAUACGAAUUUGCUCGCGCGAUCAAAUCGCCAAAAUAACACCUAGAACUACGAAUUUAGUACCAAAUCAGAUGAAAUUCUCAAGAACAAUUUAAAAUUUCUAUUUUCUCAACUGGACGUCCGAAUUCAAUCCCGGGCAUACGCCCAGGUCCCAUAAUUCGAUGCGGACCUACCAGGACUGUCAAAAUACGGAUCCGGGCCCGUUUACCAAAAAUGUUGAUCGAAAUCAACUAAAAUCAACUUUUAAGGCAAAAAUUCAUAUUUUCAUUAAUUUUCAACAUAAAAGCUUUCCGGAAACCUGCCCGGACUGCGCACGCAAAUCGAGGAGGGUAAAAAUGAGAUUUUAAAGGCUUAAGAACGCAGAUUCGAGUUCUAAAACAUAAGAUGACCCUUUUGGGUCAUCACAAUAGGAAGAUCUCGAAACAUGCUGAACCAGCGCCCAGUUGAUUAACUUGAACUUCAUAAAAUCUUGUAUCCGUCGUCUUUGCUUAGUCCGGUUUUCCUUAUGGGCUGUGUUCAGUUGUGUAAGUUAUUAAAUAUUAAAAAAGGAAUACAUGUAAGGCAGAGGUUGACUAUGCCUCCUCAGGCUUGGUGUUCCAGGUAACACAAGAAAUUGGAGCUGCGUGGAGCUCUUUUUCUUUCAGCAUCCCUCAAUAAAAUCUGUUUGUCUUUAAAUCUUAGUUCUUUUAGGGGUCGUUUGGUUGGCGAACAAGCUAUCCUGGGAUUAUAAUACCGGGAUUAAAUAGUGGAUAUAAUUUUAUUUGUAGAUGUUUGGUUCAUUUCAUUGGACUAAAAAUGGGAUAUACUGGGUAUAAUAUAAAACAUGUGUUUGGUUUAUUUCUAAUUUUAACCUUGGAUUUUUUGAAUGACUUUGGGAAAGAGCCUUGGAGAAGGGCAUCUUUGUUGUUGUAGUUUUUUAUCCCAGGAUUAGUAAUGCCGGGCUCAAUGUGGGAUAGAAAAAUACCACAAUCGUGGAUUAAUCCCGGGAUUGCUAAUCCCAGAUUCAAAAAUUCAGCCAAACACUGAAUAAGAAAAUCUCGCAUCUAAUCCGGAGAUUAUUAUCCUUUAUCCCACCAAUCAAACGACCUCUUAGAGUAUAUAGUGUCUUGGCUCUCCUGUUUCUGCAAGAAAAUUUGAACCUUCUAUUAAAGCUGUGCACCACUAUGAAAUGGUUCUGAAGGAUCAUUAGCUUCUGUUAAGUUUCUCAUAGACUGAUUUCAUAAAAUUAACCAAUUUUGUUAUGAAUGGUUUAUAUAGCUAACAAUGAGUUAUGACCUUCACUAUACUUUGUAAAGUAAAUUAAAACUUUGGCUUUGCUCUACUUGCUGUUACUUCUCACACCAUUUAAUUGAUGUUGGCAUGUUGCUUGCUGGUGCUGGUCAUAGUAUCAUAUUUCAUCUACAAGGCUUUGAUGUGUAAUUUCAAUGGUCUUGCAGUGUGUGCAUCAUUACCGGCUAUCCCUCGGGGUAAAUGGUACUGCAAGUAUUGUGAAAGCAUGUUACAGAGGGAGAAGUUUGCGGAGCGCAGUGCGAAUGCCUUAGCAGCCGGUAGGGUCUCUGGCAUUGAUCCCAUAGAGCAAAUAACAAAACGUUGCAUUCGCAUUGUCAAGAAUGCAGAAGAGGCAGAAUUUAUUGCAUGUGUUUUAUGCAGGUAAUUCUUUUGCGAAAAGCACAUUGGAGCCUAGCCCUAGCUUUGGUUGUUUGAUCCAGCAUGCCAUGUCUUUUCUUUCUACAGAGGUUAUGACUUUAGCAAGUCUGGUUUUGGUCCACGGACUGUCAUCCUAUGUGACCAGGUUUUUCCUCAUCAUUUUUUAUAUCUGUCUUAUUCAACUAAAUAUAUAAACCUGAAAUACUUUACUCGCCAUUUGCUUUUCAGUGUGAGAAAGAAUAUCAUGUUGGCUGCUUAAAGAGAAGCAAGAUAGCAGAUUUGAAGGUGCGUGCAUUUGCAUUUCAGGACUCUUUCAUGAGUAGUUCUUUUCUAAGUCCUGUGUGCCUGUAUUCCUUUUCCUUUAUUAUCAGGUGAGAUUUUGUUCUUUGGGGGUGGGUUUUGGGGUUAAAAGUUAAUGCUUCUUGCACCACAGGAAUUGCCUAAAGGAAAAUGGUUCUGUAGUAAGAAUUGCAACAAGAUCUAUUCUGCACUGCAAAGUUUGCUAACCUCAGGAGAAGAGAGGUUGCCAGAUUCUUGUUUGGAUGCAAUAAGGGUGAAGGAAAAAGAAAACCGUUUGGCUGCUGUUGGUGAACUUGAUGUUAGAUGGAGACUUUUAAGUGGCAGAAUUUCCUCUCGUGAAACCAGAAGGCUACUGGCAGAAGCUGUUUCUAUCUUCCAUGUAAGCAUUAUCCCUGAUAUCAUUUCUUCAAAAGCUUGAUCAAUCGACAUUGACUAUGAUAUUUAAGGUACUAUGAACAACAAAAGCUUGCUCUCCACUUUACUUGAUGGGGUGGGGGAGGCCGGCAAAUAAGUUACUCGUGCUCUUUUUGGUGUCAGUGUCUUUUGUCAUUUUGUGACUCGUUUUUAUGAAUGGUAUGAACAUAUUUAAAAUUAUUGCUCUUGCGCAUUCAGAAUUGCUGAUGCGGGAAAACAGACUUGUUAUGAUGUUAGCAUCUGUAUAUCAUUUAAACUUGCUGUUCUGGUACUCUCUAUUUCAUUUAACUUGCUGUUCUGGCAUUUAUACCAGCCUUUUGUUAGCAGAGUCUCAGAUGAUUUACCAUUUAAUUGAUCUGAUAUGGAUAUUUCUUUUCAUUUUACCCUCAUUAAUAAGAUGGCUUUCAUCAAAGGAAUGUGUCUUUCAAGAAUUUCUAGUAUAUCUUUCAUUGCAUGUGUCAGCUUUGAGGAAAAAAGUUAGCAUCAAUGUUUUCAUUAUUGACUUUUCAGGAUUGUUUCGAUCCUAUUGUUGAUUCAGUAACUGGACGUGACUUCAUUCCAUCUAUGGUCUAUGGGUAGGCUUUGUUCUCCUUUGUUUCCGGAGUUGGGUUUUCCAUGUAGUUUCGUGAUAGCUCCAAUCUUAGAGUCGCUCUUCCUCACCUUAUCUUGCCUCCUGCAGAAGGAACAUUAGGGGCCAAGACUUUGGAGGCAUGUAUUGCGCUAUAUUGACUGUAAAGUAAGUACUACAGUCUGUUUAUUUAAAGCUCUUGGUAGUUUAAGCUUAUUAUGAUUAACCUGCUCAAGAAGCUCUUUGGCUAAUCAAUGCAGCUCAACUGUAGUAUCAGCAGGGAUCCUCCGGAUUUUUGGCCAGGAUAGGGCAGAACUCCCUCUUGUGGCAACCCGUGUUGGUAGCCAAGGCAAGGUAUAGCAAUGAAGCUGCUCUCAUAAGACCUCUCUUGUUCCUUCUAUGAUAGUCUUUUAUUUUUCUGUCUUUUUACGUUUUGUUGCUUAGAAAAUUUCUUGCAAUACUUAGUUGCGUUAGCUAGAAUUACAUCUUGGAAGACCAGUUAAGCACGGUUCAAAUUCAGAAGGCAUUACCUUAUAUUUACAUGUGUUUAGGCUUUUGGGUAGAAGAGUUGCAUAAGUCGACGGAAAGAAAUUAGCUGUCCGAUAGAAAGCAGACAAUAUUUAUUGCUUGGUCAUUUAUACCAGUGAUGUAUGUUUGAAGAACUUAAAUACCUGGUAUAUGCAGAUGGAACAUGAAGGGGAGCCUUGGCGUAAUUGGUAAAGUUGCUGCCAGGUGACCAGGAGGAUAUGGGUUCGAGCCGUGGAAACAGCCUCUUGCAGAAAUGCAGGGUAAGGCUGCGUACUAAAGACCCUUGUGGUCCGGCCUUUCCCCGGACCCCGCGCAUAGCGGGAGCUUAGUGCACCGGGCUGCCCUUUUUUAUGCAGCUGGAACAUAUUGACCUCCAACAGUUGCCAGCCACUGCCAGAAUGUCACUUUUCGCUGGAUUGUUGGCAUGUUCUUUAGUAUUUAUGUUAAAAGAUGAUCCCUUUUCCUUUUUUAACUUUAAAGUGAUACCGAUAGAAUAAGAAUUUAGGCUCUGACAAAGGAAUCAACUAUUUCGUGUAUUCUAGUAUGUAAAUGCUCUGCUAAGAUUCAUUUAGGUUAACACCCCCUUUACCAUAUCCGUACGUAACAAAGGUGAAUGUUAGUUGGCAUAUUUGUGAACUCUGAUGUUUCAUGAUACAAAAUAUGGUGUACUUGCUUAGUUUACAUGUUGGGGCAGCCUGUCUAGUUAACUAGAAGUGUAUUUUUUGAAAGAUAUUUGAAUGUUUACAGGGAUACUUUCAGUUGCUGUUCUCCUGCAUAGAAAAAUUGCUUUCAUUUUUGGGUGUGAGAAGCUUUGUACUCCCAGCUGCUGUUGAAGCUAUGUCAAUAUGGACUGAGAAAUUUGGAUUCCAGGAGUUAACCCCAGAUCAGGUUUGUUUAGCAUGUUUCCAUGCUGGUGCUGCUGCAUCAUAUUUGGCCCUUUGAAUGCUAAGCUGUUGUAUUCUUUGCAGCUUGUCAGCUACCGAAGAACCUGUUGGCAAAUGAUUAGCUUUAAAGGCACAUCUAUGCUGGAAAAGUCGGUCUCUAGAUGUAGAAUCAUUCAGCAGCGGGAAGCUGAAAAUGAUGUUCCAGAUGAAUAGUUUGACACAGAUGAUAUUAGUUUUAUCCCAUUUUGUAGAGCCAUUUCUUUUCAAUACAUGUACAUUAUAUCUUAUUUGAGCAGAGAUGGUGAGUAGUAACUUUUAUGAAUGAGCUUUAGCGGAUCAGAAUUGUGUAAAAAGGUUCUAUAACUGCGAACAUAUCUUGAGUUCGAUUCUCUUUCUUAACCACUCUUAGAGUGGGAUCUUAUUAUCUAAUAUUAACCUCAAAUUUGAGACGAUUUAAUGGAGUCCAAUUCUGUAACAAGCUUUACAGUGAACCUUAUCAACAAUGAAGGUUUGGGUCAUUAUUUUCCUUUAAAACUACUGUUGAGUUUAUUCCUCUUUUUAACUAUCAACGAGGUUUCAGUAUCAGUAGCUGAACAUUGCCAUCUGAAUAUCAAAAGAUCAACCUUUAUCAACCUUUAAAGAACUUUCUACUCAACGUGCACACCUAGUAGUACAAAAUGAUGGAAUUUUUUCUGGAUUCUAUUCUUUCUAUGUGAAACCUUUUAUAUGAAAACUGAGAAGGGCAUACGUCAUAUAUGAUCUGCUACUUUUGUUGAUUCCAAUUUCCAAGUAUUCAAAGUAAAGAACAGGGUCCUUGGGCUUUAUGUUAGCUAUUCGAAUUUCUACAAAAAUUCAAUUGACUUGGUCGUUGAAACCAAGUGAACCUCUCCCCCACUGUUAGUUGCAUGAUGUCGAUACGUUCAUUAAAAGGAGUUGAGGCAUAGUCAUUCAACUCGUCAGCAUAUAUUACGUCGUCUCACACUGCUGCUGUUGUGAUAACCAAAAGAAUCACAACAACAUUCUCAAAUAUUGUUGUCUCUGUCAUGAGGUUCAUCUAAUCCACUUUCUACUGUGCUUGUAAUAAAGUUCAGUACUCAAAUUUUUAUCCAAUAGACACAAAUAAAUUAGUUUUUGAUAGCAUAAAAAUACUUUAGACGGAGAGUGUUCGAAUCGUAGUAUUGCAGUUGACUGGCUACCUAAACUUUUAGGGUUCGAUUCCAUAUUUGUAAUCCCAUCCCUAUUUCCCCUUUUUCCUCCCCCAUUUUUUCUUUUUUUAAAAAAGACAGACGGUAUUUAUAAAUAAAUUGUAAUGAUAAACUCAUAAUAUCCAGCUUCUUAAGACGCAUCCCCUUUGACAUCCAUUGUUACACAAAGAGUACUACACACAUACACUGAUGUUUAUAUAUGUUAUAUGCUGAUCAACUCGAUCUCCCUUCCUCAAAAGCCUUGAAAUAUGUGAAGCGGAAACCUUACAUAAUUUUCAUAGAUGAAAAGAACAAAAUAUGUAGAAGCGAAAAAGAAAGAAAAGAAAGGUCAUCAUUUCAUAUUGUUACACUCUUUAGUUUAUAUUCCGUUGUUCCUGCAAAAGCAACGCCGCUGUACUAGAAGCAGAUUAUUAUUAUAAUGACAAAUGAAGAAGCUUCUUGAACUUUCUAACUUAUUAUCAACGUUAUGCUUUUGCAAUAAAUCUUCUUUGCUUUUCCAUUAAAAUCUCCCAGACGAGGUAAAAAAAACAAAUAAUAAUAAUAAUAACAAUAAUGAAAGAAAUUAAACAACUUAGAUAGCCAUUGAUCUGAUGUAAAAAUAGUAGCAGAUCUAUAUCAUUUUGUUGCAUCUUACAAAAAUAUAACCAUAUAUAUAAACUAUGUCGCUUGGACCGUCGAGUGUGCAAUCCAAAACGGGUGUGGCAAUAUUUUGGAGGGUCCCAGCAACAUAAUAUAGAAAUUAUCUUCAUUUUCUUUAUUGUCCAUUGUACUGAGAUAAGCAUGCAUCAAAGUAAAGCUUUCAUCAAUACUUCACACCCAAAUUAAAAAGAAUUUAACUUAUAUACAUUAACAAUGUAAAGAAUUUUAUAUUAUUCAUAUAUUUUAACAUAUUGUAAUAGGCUUAGUAUUUCCUUAUUUUACAAGUUAUUAAUCUCACUUAUAAUUAUAUUUUUAGAUGAUUUGACGAUGUAAAUGCUUUUACACUACUAGCGUAUAGAACUUAAACUCGAUUAAAAGUAAAUUAAAUCCCUUUCCCUUACAUAAUUUCUUGGCGUGUCCAUUAUCUAAUCUCCACUUUUUUUCAGCUGCCCAUAUCUUUAACCAUGAUCUUCCCCUUUUUUCAAUCUCUCUUCAUUACUAAAAUAUGUAUUGUAAUGAAUGACCCUUUGCCCACACUUCUCUUACCUCCUACGUCAAUAAAAAACUGGCCAUUCUUCCAAUAUUAAAUAUGUCAUGUUCGUGACAAUUCUUAACUCUUUAAAGCCACCAAAAAACAGUAAGCAAAACAACAACAAUUUCAAGAAUACCUAAACUAUGAAUACUACUAGAAGGACCAUUUUCUUUUGGUUCAUUGCCUUUACCAUUGCACUAUUUUCCAUCAUUUUUCCUCUCUAUUCCAAUUACAACUCUCCCACAAAUAAUGCAAUUGAAAGUACUAGCUUUCCACUUGCUUUGCUGAAAAGGGUAGUUGAGAAAAGUGGUUUACAAGAUUUCUUUUGUAUCUUUCAAGAAAUUACUAGGCUGCAUAAUUCUAAAUGCGACGAUUCAAAAUGGAACUCUAAGCUUAUAUCAGUUUAUGGAGUUUCACAUGUUUUGACAGUGGAUUUAAAUGGUUGUGCAAAUUUUAGUAGUAUACAAAAGGCAGUGGAUGCAGUUCCUGAUGAUAACCCUACUAGAACACUUAUUCUAGUUGAUUCAGGCACAUACAAGUAAUCUUUUACUUUUCUUUUUCCUUAUUAUAUUAUGAGUUUGAAACGAAAUUUAACUAUUUAAGUUUUGCUGACACUGUAUUUCUCUUAGGGAUUCAAAAUUAAAUUAUAUAUAUAUAUAUAUAUAUAUAUAUAUAUAUAUAAUUAAAACUUUGUGUGUACCCUAUUUAUGUCGUAUAACUUUAUCGAUGAAGGUAAUCCCCUUCAUAGCAUGUUGCUCCGUCAUUACUAACAGUGUAAAAGGACUUUUAUAUUAUGAGUGUAUUUUAACCUGUUGUAACAGCGGCAACCUUCGUAUUUUCAAGGUUACAAAUCUGACUUUUUAUUAUUUAAUGCUUCCAACAUAGUAUAUAUAUAGAAGUUAAACUCUUGAUUUUUUGAAUAAAAAUUUUCGUUAAUUGAAGUUUCAUGAUAUUCUGGCAGGGAGAAAGUGGUGAUAAACACUAACAAGACAAAUUUAAUAAUACAAGGCCAAGGUUACCUUAAUACUGCUAUAGCAUGGAAUGAUACUGCAAAUUCUACUGGUGGAACUGCCAACAGUUUUACUGUUGCUAUUUAUGCUCCCAAUUUCAUAGCCUAUAAUAUCAGCUUCCAGGUACACUGAUUGUCUUUCAUUUUUCAUAAACUAAUUAUCAAUCAUAUAAUUUGAAUUUUCUCCUGUAUUAACAAUUUUUUUUGAGUUUAAAUUCUAUACACUGACAAUGAAAAUUUCUAUGAUAUAUAUAAACAUAUAAUUAGUUAGUAGGUAGUUGAGCGUUUGUCCAUUCCGUACUGGGUGUAGGUCUAGUCUAUUAGUGCCUUGUUUUCGUAUGCAAGUCAUACGUGUUGUGUUCAUACUAUUUUUUCGCUCAGGUUUCCUAGUACCUUGCCAUUGUUGCUGAUCACUGAUAUUGAUUUUUAUUGCAUUUUCUAUUUAUUUUUCUGAUCUGUACUAUUUUUUGGCCUAUGUUGUUGAUAUUGUUCUAUUGUCUCUUUUCAUCUUCUUGUGUCGAUGGUCUAUCGGAAACAAUCUCUACCAAAAAGUUGAUAAAAUAACCUGUUAUUAUUAGUUAAAUAGCCUAAUAGACGUAGAAAAUAUUUACAUUGUUAGCGUAUAUAACUUAAAUAUGGGUCUUUUUUAAUGGAUUUAUGUUUGUUUUUGUUUAAGAACACAGCCCCUUCGGCUUCACCAGGAGAUGUUGGAGCACAGGCAGUGGCUUUAAGAGUAACAGGAGAUGAAGUUGCAUUUUAUGGAUGUGGAUUUUAUGGAGCACAAGACACUCUUAAUGAUGAUAGAGGACGACAUUAUUUUAAAGAUUGUUUCAUCCAAGGGUCCAUUGACUUCAUCUUUGGAAAUGGUAGAUCACUUUAUGAGGUAAUUAGAGUAAUUAACUCAAAAAAUUUACUAUAAUUACUUCCUUCGUCCAAGUUUACUUGUUCAUUAUACUAAAAAUAGAUGUUCUUUUUACUUGUCCAAUUUGAAAAAUCAAUGGAUAAUUUUCCAUUAUCUAUUCUACCCUUCUUAUUAAGUACUACUCUAUCCGUUUUAAUUUAGAUGAGGUAUUUUGAUUCGGCACGAAGUUUAAGAAAAAAAAAAGACUUUUGAAACUUGUGAUCUUAAAAGCUUUAUAGGGUCAUGACAUUUGUGUGGUUAUAAAAGCUUCUCACUAAGGGUAAAAUGAAUAAAAUGAAGAGUUUAAAGUUGAAUUAUUUCCAAUUGUAAAAAUUUUCGAAGGGACUAAUAAGGAAAAUGUAUCAUCUAAAUUGAAACAGAGGGAGUACUUAUUUUCAAUUCAUUUUCCAACAAAUAAUAGAGUUAGACAGGGGUAAUAUAGUAACAUUAUCAAGUUAUUAUUGUUUCUUUUGGGUGUGUCAAGUCUAUAGUGGACAAGUAAACUUGGACGGAUGGAGUGGAUCAUCUAAAAGAUGAGUACACAUUGUCCAUAAUAAGUUAAAAGUAUCACUUAAAAGCUAAUCAUUAUUACUCUUUAUGUCCCAAUUUAUAUGACGGUGUUGGAAUAUCAAGUAUCAAAUAAGUUUUUCUUUGACUGUAAUUUUUUCAUAUGAUUUUUAUACAUUUUGAAUUAUUAAUUACUAUGAUUUAUAUUAUUUUUUUUACGUAAUUUAUAAAUAUAUAAAUUUUAUUUCAGAAUAUAUUAAGAUUUUAUGUUUGAAUUCACGGUAAAAAUAAAAAAAGAUUGACCCUCAAACGUGAACUAUAUCACAUAAAAUUGUGACACAAAUUACGGAGUAUAAUAAUGUGAUAGAGACAUUUGGUAUUGACAUGUAUAUAUGACAGGAUUGCAGGAUAAAUUCAAUAGCAAAAGAAGAAACAGGUGGAAUUGGAGGAUCAAUCACAGCACAAGGAAGAAAUUCCCAAAAUGAAAAUUCUGGAUUUUCGUUUGUGAAUUGUGCUAUUAAUGGCAGUGGAAAAAUAUGGCUGGGCCGAGCUUGGGGAGCAUAUGCUACUGUCGUAUUUUCCAAAACGUAUAUGUCAAAUGUGGUUUCCUCAGAUGGCUGGAAUGAUUGGAGAGAUUCAACUAGAGAUCAGUCAGUAACUAUCCUAGUUAACAUCUAUAUAUAUUUUUUUUAUAUUCUCUAUUGCAGAAUUUGUUGAUUAAAUUAUAAAAAUUCUUUAAGAAUUAAGAAUAUAGAGAAUACAAAACACUUUAUAUAGCUGAAAAAAGGAGGAUAGGUUUAAAUUUGCUUUAGUAUUAUCCGUAAUUGAGAAAUUUUAUCGUAGGAAUGAUACUAGAUAGCCACUAUAAAGGGUUGCUAUUUAGAAAUUAAAUUCAAUUUUUCAGGACAAAUGUUCUGAAUUAUCUUGAAAUUAAAUUUUUUAGUUUAAAAUUUAAGAAUAAAAUAAAUAAUAGCUAAUCUUUAAAUAUCAUCCUUGAGAAUGACUACCCGCAUACUUCCCCUAAUUUUAUCUUACCCCGUUGUUGAACCUUUGGUCCAAUCUUACCCCACCGUUAAGAUAAAGUUUUGUUUUUGCCCUUAGAUGUUUACCUUAACAUCUAACGUUAAGGUAAUUUUAAAUUAUAUUUAGAAGUUGAGGGGUAAGUAUGUACUAGGGGUGUACAAACCGAACCGAAAAAUCGAACCAAACCAAAAAGUCAAACCAAACCGAUUAAAAAAAUCUGACUAGGUUUGGUUUGAUUUGGUUUGGUUUGGUUUUGAUAAAAACCGAACCAACCUGGUCUAUGUACAACUCUAGUAUGGACAUUCAUUAUCGAAGAAUUUGGACACGUUGAGGGAGUCCACCUAUUUCAUGUUGGAGCUCCAUUAACAGCAAGGGC